rnacentral:rRNA from 1 species
CUAGCUGUAAAACAUUAACCCACAUCCCAACUCGCCAGGGAAUUACGAGCUCAAGCUUAAAACCCAAAGGACUUGACGGUUUCCCACCCCCCUAGAGGAGCCUGUUCUAUAAUCGAUUUUCCCCGAUCAACCUCACCACCUCUUGAACAUACAGCCUGUAUACCUCCGUCGCAAGCUUACCCUAUGAAAGCAUAUUUAGUGAGCUUAAAGAUUUUACACCCAUACGUCAGGUCAAGGUGCAGCCCAUGAGCUGGAAAGAAAUGGGCUACAAUUUCUACUUUAGAACAAACGAAAGACUGCAUGAAACACAGUCAUUGAAGGCGGAUUUAGUAGUAAAAAGAAAAUAGAGAGUUCUUUUUAAUCGGGCACUAGGAUGCGUACACACCGCCCGUCACCCUCUUCAACCAAUAAAUUUUUUUAGCGUUUAUAACCUCACAUAUUUUUACAGAAGAGGCAAGUCGUAACAUGGUAAGCGUACUGGAAAGUGCGCUUGGAACAAAAUGUAGCUUAAUAAAAGUAUCUUGCUUACACCAAGAACAUGCCUGUAAAAAUCUGACCAUUUUGAGCCUAAAGCCCAGCCCUAUUUUACCAAAUGCAACACCAACCAACAAAGAACCAAACUAAAACAUUUUCUUAACCAAGUAAAGGCGAUUAAAAAGUUUCUAGGAGCCUCAACACCAGUACCGCAAGGGAAAACUGAAAUAAAAUUGAAAUAAAUUUAAAGCAUAUUAAAGUAGAAAUUAAACCCCGU